rnacentral:sRNA from 1 species
UAAGAAAUGGUUUUAAGUGUCGAAAUGC